rnacentral:rRNA from 1 species
AAUUGUUCGCAAUGGGCGCAAGCCUGACGACGCAACGCCGCGUGGAGGAUGAAGAUCUUCGGGUCGUAAACUCCUGUCGAGCGGGACGAAUGCUUUGCGGCUGAAUAAUCCGCAGAGGUGACGGUACCGCUAAAGGAAGCCCCGGCUAACUCCGUGCCAGCAGCCGCGGUAAUACGUAGGGGGCGAGCGUUGUCCGAAUUUACUGGGCGUAAAGCGCGCGUAGGCGGUUUCUUAAGUCUGGGGUGAAAGGUUCAACGCUCAACGUGAACAGUGCCUUGGAUACUGGGAGACUUGAGUCUGGGAGGGGGCAGUGGAAUUCCUGGUGUAGCGGUGAAAUGCGUAGAUAUCAGGAGGAACACCGGUGGCGAAGGCGGCUGCCUGGCCUAAGACUGACGCUGAGGUGCGAAAGCGUGGGUAGCGAAC